rnacentral:miRNA from 2 species
UGAGAUUCUACUUCUCCGACUUAA